CCCGACCUGCUUUCGUUUCUCUCGCGUUCCUCUCUCUCUCUCUUUCCCUCCCUUUUCUGCUCUCUUGAAUCUCAACUCUCUCAAAUAUUGGUCAAAUUUCUUGAUCAUGAUUCAGGCAAGCCUAUCGCUUUCACCUACCAGUUUCAAUUGAGGUGGCAACUUUUUGAUUAAAUCAAAGGGUUCGGUUGAGCACUCAAGUGUCUUUGAGAUUUUGAGUUUCAGGGUUGCAAUUGGUGAUUGAAGCUCUGACAUUUGUGCACAAUUAGGAGAUGGCUACAUGCACUUUGACACAGUCAAGAUAUAUGGUUCUGAGGGUGCCCUUAUAAACACUUUAACAGAGACAUUUCAAGAUAGGACUAUAGAAAGAGAGGAAUUUUUGUUUCCAUUAUGGGGUAGUCAUCACCAUGACCCUGUUUCUGCUCUGAGACAAACUCUAAAGCACUUAGAUUUGAGCUUAGGUUUCAAGUAUUCAUGGUCCACAACAAAUAGAGCAUCAGCCAACCACAUCAACACCAGCUCAUUCACUGCCUGAGAAAAAAAAAUUCCCUGAAAAAAGCAGGAGAGAGCUGUUUGGUACCAACACAGAAAAAAAAACCCCGCAGGGAAGGCAGCAUUAAACCAGUAGUAUCAUCCAUGGAGACCUUCAACAAUAUCUACAUUAGUGGU